rnacentral:rRNA from 1 species
GUCACAUGGCUUUAACGCCAAAGAUUUAUCGGUUAAGGAUGGACCUGCGUCUGAUUAGCCAGUUGGUGGGGUAACGGCCUACCAAAGCGACGAUCAGUAGCCGACCUGAGAGGGUGAUCGGCCACAUUGGAACUGAGACACGGUCCAAACUCCUACGGGAGGCAGCAGUGGGGAAUAUUGCACAAUGGGCGCAAGCCUGAUGCAGCAACGCCGCGUGAGCGAAGAAGGCCUUCGGGUUGUAAAGCUCUGUCCUUAGGGACGAAGAAGUGACGGUACCUAAGGAGGAAGCCCCGGCUAACUACGUGCCAGCAGCCGCGGUAAUACGUAGGGGGCGAGCGUUAUCCGGAAUUAUUGGGCGUAAAGAGUACGUAGGUGGUUGCGUAAGCGCAAGGUGAAAGACCGAGGCUUAACUUCGGUGAGCCUUGUGAACUGCGUGACUUGAGUGCAGGAGGGGAAAGUGGAAUUCCUAGUGUAGCGGUGAAAUGCGUAGAUAUUAGGAGGAACACCAGUGGCGAAGGCGACUUUCUGGACUGUAACUGACACUGAGGUACGAAAGCGUGGGGAGCAAACAGGAUUAGAU